GACGAACGCUGGCGGCGUGCUUAACACAUGCAAGUCGAACGGAAAGGCCCCUUUGGGGGUACUCGAGUGGCGAACGGGUGAGUAACACGUGAGUAACCUGCCCUUGACUUCGGGAUAACUUCAGGAAACUGGGGCUAAUACCGGAUAGGAAUCCUUGCUGCAUGGUGGGGGUUGGAAAGCUUCGGCGGUUUUGGAUGGACUCGCGGCUUAUCAGCUUGUUGGUGGGGUAGUGGCUUACCAAGGCUUUGACGGGUAGCCGGCCUGAGAGGGCGACCGGCCACAUUGGGACUGAGAUACGGCCCAGACUCCUACGGGAGGCAGCAGUGGGGAAUAUUGCACAAUGGGCGGAAGCCUGAUGCAGCAACGCCGCGUGCGGGAUGACGGCCUUCGGGUUGUAAACCACUUUCAGCAGGGGCGAAGCUUGUGGUGACGGUACCUGCAGAAGAAGCACCGGCUAACUACGU
rnacentral:rRNA from 1 species